UUUGAAAAAAUAUAUAUUAUUAAGAAAAAUAUUUUAAAGUCUGUGAUUACGCGGAAUUGAAACCAUGAAUAGUUAUAUUAUUCCACAUUUGUCGCCACCGACAUACCGAUUACAGCGAAACGUUCACAAUGUUGCAUUAUUGUGUGUACCAUAUUGAUUAUUUACUUAGCACUUUUGUCGAUUUCCAAUGAUACUCUAGCAAAUUUAUUUACGAAAAGUAAAUAACUACAAGUAUUUGAUCAAAUAACUUAAAAGUACCUGCCGCAGCUGCCUUUUAGUUAAAACUUAUCAAUUUAUUAAGUGAUUAAUUAUUUAAUUAGCAACUGUACUCGAAAGCCAACUAAAUGUAUACGAGUACAAACAGAAACUUCAAAGAGGCAAGCAGAGCGGCCCAACAUAUAGCAAAAAAUUCCAAAUGGACUGCGCCCAAACCGGAGAACUAUUGCUGACAGCAUACGAUUUUGACACCGCUUCCAGACUGAUUUCAAAAAUAUUUGCAACAUUACGACUUCCGUCUAAAAUGCUCCAGAAAUAUCUGAGUGUAAUUUUAACAAAAGGUUGACUAAUGUGACAAAACAACGCUAACAACCAUAUUACUUCACAUGAACUAUUGCGAAAUAAGCGCCAAAUACCGAUCCGGUACGUGCCAAUAAGCACACUUUGGCGAUUGCCAUUGAAAUUUAUUGUUUGAAUACAGUGCGAGUAAAAUUGAUCACGAAACACACAAGAAUUUAAUCUAAAAAGGAGGAGGAAAUAGCAAAGAGGGGGAAAGCAAAUCAACGAAUAGUGUUGGUAAGUGACGCAAAAUCGGUAGUAAAGCAUUGCAUACAGCAAAUUGGCAAGUGGCAAAGAGGCAAGUUGUCAAAACAAAUAAAAAAUUGUUGAAACACACACACAUACAGUUACAAACAUAAACGUGUACCGUUGCAUGGAAGCGCAGCUAGAGCUCGCGAAUAUUUAUAGAAACGGCGAACAUGGUGAUAAUUCAUUUUUAUUAGAGUCAACAUGGCAGAAACACCGACAGCAAACAACACAAACAACAAUACAACAUGUCGCGAAAUAAGGAAGGUAAAACCGCAAAAGUGUAGUCGCCGCGCUGACAACAACAGCGCGCCAGUGACGUUGCAUACUACGCCAUAAAGCAGCAACGAUAAAUGAUGACACAAGGAAAGUUGUAGUGCAAGAGGAAGCCAACAAUGUCAAUGUUGUCAGCGGUGACUACCUGCUGGUGUUGUUGCCGUUGUUGUCGACGUACAAAUAGCAGCGACAUGACCUCCAGGCGAUUGCAAGUGUUAGGAAAGUGUCGCAGGAAGUUGAGCAACUCAUCAUGCAUGUAUUGUUGCCUUGCACUUGAAGAUUUGAUGUACCCUUUGCGCAUGUCGAAAUCGCGAAUAUCGACAGGCCAACCGACACGAAGUGAAUAACGACAUUUAUGUUAUUGUACAUUGGACAAGCGGCGGUCACUGAGGAAAUGUUUAAAGGGAGUGGGUUGGUAAGCACGAAAAAUGGCACUGAAAUGCUGUGUUUAAGUUACAAUUGCUGGUGUGUUGA
rnacentral:lncRNA from 1 species